rnacentral:sRNA from 1 species
UAUCGGCAAUAUUUUUCGCCGAAGUCCGGAAAGGCUCGUCCCCCGCCGAACCGGACAUAAAAGCGGCAGCCUUAUCCCCCUCUCCGGGCUGCCGCACAUAAUAUAAGGCCGCCGUGGUUCCCCUCCACCACGGCGGCACUUU